rnacentral:rRNA from 1 species
GCAGCACGGGAGCAAUCCUGGUGGCGAGUGGCGAACGGGUGAGUAAUAUAUCGGAACGUGCCCAGUCGUGGGGGAUAACGUAGCGAAAGUUACGCUAAUACCGCAUACGAUCUACGGAUGAAAGCGGGGGAUCGCAAGACCUCGCGCGAUUGGAGCGGCCGAUAUCAGAUUAGCUUGUUGGUGGGGUAAAAGCCCACCAAGGCGACGAUCUGUAGCUGGUCUGAGAGGACGACCAGCCACACUGGGACUGAGACACGGCCCAGACUCCUACGGGAGGCAGCAGUGGGGAAUUUUGGACAAUGGGCGCAAGCCUGAUCCAGCAAUGCCGCGUGCAGGAUGAAGGCCUUCGGGUUGUAAACUGCUUUUGUACGGAACGAAACGGUCCUUUCUAAUACAAGGGGCUAAUGACGGUACCGUAAGAAUAAGCACCGGCUAACUACGUGCCAGCAGCCGCGGUAAUACGUAGGGUGCGAGCGUUAAUCGGAAUUACUGGGCGUAAAGCGUGCGCAGGCGGUUUUGUAAGACAGAUGUGAAAUCCCCGGGCUUAACCUGGGACCUGCAUUUGUGACUGCAAGGCUGGAGUACGGUAGAGGGGGAUGGAAUUCCGCGUGUAGCAGUGAAAUGCGUAGAUAUGCGGAGGAACACCGAUG